UACAGAGGUGGCAAGCGUUGUUCGGAAUUACUGGGCGUAAAGGGCGCGUAGGCGGCCGCCUAAGUCAGACGUGAAAUCCCUCGGCUCAACCGGGGAACUGCGUCUGAUACUGGGUGGCUUGAAUUCGGGAGAGGGAUGCGGAAUUCCAGGUGUAGCGGUGAAAUGCGUAGAUAUCUGGAGGAACACCGGUGGCGAAGGCGGCAUCCUGGACCGAGAUUGACGCGUGAGGCGACGAAGCCAGGGGAGACAAAGCGGG
rnacentral:rRNA from 1 species